rnacentral:tRNA from 1 species
GGGGCCGUAGCUCAGCCGGGAGAGCGCCUGGUUUGCAACCAGGAGGCCACGGGUUCGAAUCCCGUCGGCUCCA